rnacentral:snRNA from 1 species
AAAUAUGAGUGGGAUCUGGAUGCCCUAUCUGACACCUCACUGAGGGCCAGAGUGGAUUGGGCUGGUCUUGCUGGCUACGCAAAUGUCACUCUUCUCCCGCAUUGCUCUAUGUGUGUUCCUCAAAGGCCGCACACUCACGUUGGCUCAAAGAGGACAACUUUCCCCAGGAGAGAGAGGCCAGUAUUGAGGUUGUGGUGUGCAAACAUCUGUGUUCUCCUGCUAGAAUAUCCAAACAGGCUCUUGAGAACAUUUGUAGAAGAAUGUAGACCAGUCAGAUUUCCAAGACUUCAGACACAUUCAAGUAAGAGGCUGCUUGUGAUACUUGGCUU